rnacentral:rRNA from 1 species
CCUACGGGUGGCAGCAGUGAGGAAUAUUGGUCAAUGGCCGAGAGGCUGAACCAGCCAAGUCGCGUGAGGGAAGACGGCCCUACGGGUUGUAAACCUCUUUUGUCGGGGAGCACAGCGGACCACGUGUGGUUCAUUGAGAGUACCCGAAGAAAAAGCAUCGGCUAACUCCGUGCCAUCAGCCGCGGUAAUACGGGGGAUGCGAGCGUUAUCCGGAUUUAUUGGGUUUAAAGGGUGCGUAGGCGGAAUAUCAAGUCAGCGGUAAAAAUUCGGGGCUCAACCCCGUCGUGCCGUUGAAACUGAUGUUCUUGAGUGGGCGAGAAGUAUGCGGAAUGCGUGGUGUAGCGGUGAAAUGCAUAGAUAUCACGCAGAACUCCGAUUGCGAAGGCAGCAUACCGGCGCCCAACUGACGCUGAAGCACGAAAGCGUGGGUAUCGAACAGGAUUAGAUACCUGGUGU